rnacentral:rRNA from 1 species
UACGUAGGGUGCAAGCGUUAAUCGGAAUUACUGGGCGUAAAGCGUGCGCAGGCGGUUUUGUAAGUCUGUCGUGAAAUCCCCGGGCUCGACCUGGGAAUUGCGAUGGAGACUGCAAGGCUAGAAUCUGGCAGAGGGGGGUAGAAUUCCACGUGUAGCAGUGAAAUGCGUAGAGAUGUGGAGGAACACCGAUGGCGAAGGCAGCCCCCUGGGUCAAGAUUGACGCUCAUGCACGAAAGCGUGGGGAGCGAACAGG